rnacentral:lncRNA from 1 species
GAGGGGGCAGCACCUCUUGGGGUGAAGGGGGCAGGGGUGGAGGGCGCAGCGCCCCUUAGGGCGGAGGGCGGGGGCCGGGCGGGGAGGAGGGGGAGGGGGCGGGGGGCGCGGGGUCCCUUGGGGCGGACGGGGCGGGGGUGGAGGGGGCAGCGCCCCUUGGGGCGGAGGGGGAGGGGGCAGGGGGCGCGGGGUCCCUUGGGGCGGACGGGGCGGGGGUGGAGGGGGCAGCGCCCCUUGGGGCGGAGGGGGAGGGGGCGGGGGCGCGGGGUCCCUUGGGGCGGACGGGGCGCGGGCUCCGGGCGCAGAGGGCGGGGGCCCCCGCCGGACCCCCCGGAGCCGGGCGCGCAGGACCCCGGGGGCGCGGGCGCCGAAGCCCCGCGGGGGGCAGCGGCGGGGGCGACGAGGGCAGCCCCGGGCCGGAGGCGGGCGCGCCCGAAGGCCUGGGCGGGGCGGCGGCCCCGGGGAGCCGGUCAGGACCGCGGAGAGCGGCAGCGCGGGGCCCGGGAGCGGCGAGGUCCGCGGGCUGCAGGGAGGACGCGAGGCAGCCGGGAGCGCGCCCCUGACGCCGGGCGGGGCUCAGAGCCCCAGGAUAUUUGAAAGAUGUCUUCUGGAAGACUUAGAGACUGGAGAAAGAGUCACCAAGCAUCUCACUAGAACUUUAGAUUUCCUCUGUUUUAAAUCACUGCGCUUGUGUGAGCUGGCUGGACCUGUAGGACCCUCUGGGGGCAGCGGCUCCCAAUGGGGGACUGUGAGGCUGUUGCUAGUCAACAUAGCCAACCUGUCUCUACUCAUAUCAAAUUGAUAGUUUUCAAGUGUUUGACGUUUACCAAAGAUCACCGAAAGGCUCAGCCCUCACACCUGGGGUUUGUUUAAAAUCUUUUUUUAAUUUAUAAUCAGAUAUUAGGCCCGGUUUCAUAUGUUUAGACUUUUAUUUAAAGUCUGUGGCUUGGGGGUUUAAUGACCUGGUUUAUAAAAAUGAGUUCUAGGGGAUCCCUGGGUGGCGCAGCGGUUUGGCGCCUGCCUUUGGCCCAGGGCGCGAUCCUGGAGACCCGGGAUCGAAUCCCACGUCGGGCUCCCGGUGCAUGGAGCCUGCUUCUCCUCUGCCUGUGUCUCUGCCUCUCUCUCUCUCUGUGACUGUCAUAAAUAAAUAAAAAAAAAAAAAAAUUUUAAAAAAUGAGUUCUAAAGGUCCUUCCGUGUACACUCGAUGCUAAAGAUUGCUGCAACCCUGUAAAUGGUUCCAGAAAGGGAUUCUAUGGCACAUAGAAAUAUUAGAAAUAUGUAUUCAUCUUAUUUAUGCCAGAGGAGUCAAGUGGCAGUCUUAUUUCAAAAUGGCCUUUGUUUUCUCCGUUUAUUUCUGUAGUUUUGCUCUCUGAGGUUGUCAUCAGUGUCUGUGGCACUUGGUCCCUGAGGGCCUUACUUAUAGGUCCUUUCAAAUGUAGAUCAAAGUAGUAAAUAAUUUAGCCGACUGAAAUGAGUCACAGUAAUUAUAGCAGGUAAACCUUGCACGUGGGCACAUGCCCCGACGUUCUAGAUUCUGGAUUCUUUGGUUGAUGUCAUCUGGUGGAAAAGCAGCUUGGAUUAAGUUAGUGUGCUGCUCACCUUCCCAAGUUCUGGUAUUUCAGACUCGUGAACUAACCUUGCAGGGCGUUGUAACUCAACACUCAGAAUCCCUUUCUAAAUUACCUGUUGAUAUUAUUACAAGUAGUUGUGCGUCAGCGUGCCCACUGGGGAUUCUGAUUCUUCUUUGGAAAAUGUCUUUGUUCCUAGACCAGUACCCUAGAGGGCGCAUAUGUUUGGCCAUCUUUUCUCCCAAGAGGAGGUGAAACAAAAUUUCCUAAAGCAGUGAUCUCCAACUGGGCUACACAUUAGACUUGGGAGGAGCAUGGCAUGAAUGAUUGGACCCCGGGCCCCGUCUCCCGCAGAGAUUUGGAUUUGAUUAGCUUUAGAUGAGUGUAGACAUCAAGUGUUUGGUUUUUGGGUUAUUUUUGUUUGUUUUUAAAAUUAUGUAGCUAAAAUUGAGGACCACUGCCCUAAAUCAUCAUAUAAUCUAUGCUGACUGUCCUAUACCCUGUGCCCUCCAGGGACCAGGUGUAUGACCGUGGUAAGUAUAUUUCAUUUUAAUAAGGGAGCCCUUGAAUGGUCAAAGAUAUAAUGGACCUGUGGUUCUCAAAAUGUGGUCCCUUGACAGGACAUCUGCAUCACCUGGAACUGUUCCAAAUACAAAGCCCCGCCCUCAUGUCACACCUAUUAAACUGGAAACUGUGGCCGGGGCCUGGCAGUUGGUGUUUUAACAAGCCCUCCGGGUCACUCUGAUGUACUCUAAAGUCUGGAACUGCUCUUGUGGACGGUGGAUUGUACUGAGGACUAGUCUCAGUUGGAACAUGGGUUGCAGAAACACUGUGAAGCUUCUCUGUUUGUCUCUUUCUUUCUCUGCGUCUCUAUUCUUCUCCCUCUCUGGGAAGGGGAACUCACUAUAGAAGCGAUGGAUUCAACAUGAAGCUUAUUUUCAUUAUGACUGUCAGGAUGUGUUUAUGACAUGACCCAGCCCCACCCCCUACCGAGGAGGAGCACCACUCAGCACACCGCAGAUCUCCACUGUCGGUCUUAGGUUUUGUGAGUGGGUUUCAUCUGCAUUUGAUCCACUUUCGUUUACUGCUGAGCCGCAUCACUGUGGGGCUCUGCAGUGUUGGUUCCCCCAUCUCCACCUCAAUGCUACAGGGCACGUUGAACACAGAGCACCUUAGGAGAAAGAUUGCAAACUUGUUAAUUCCAUUGAAGAAUGAGUCUUGUAACAAAUGUGCUAAAUGGAAAUUGCAUUGAAUUAUUUUUAUAUUUAACACAUUCCGUCAAAACAUUCUGCAACAUAAUCCUACAAUCUGCAUGUGGGUUUAAGUGUGAAAUUCAGUGUUGUGAUAUUUUGAUUAAAUGGAUUCCUUUCUCUGCAAAUACUAUGUCGAUACAACUAGUUGUAUGUGCGGCGAACUGAUUUUCCCCCCUUGUUUCCUUAUUAAAAGCCUAAACAAACUACAUGUUUACAGAUAAGACGUGAAUGAUUCCUUAUAGAUAACACUACACUUUGAAAAUCAUCUUUGUCUUUUCCUUAUGAAUUUAAACUCUGUAAAGCAGAAAAAGUUUGUUUCAUUGGGCUGUUUGUGUUGCCCGUCGACACUCAAACACGUCUGCAUUCGUACGUGCCUUUCCCAUACAUGGGAUAAUGCCAGAGAGGAAAACUAUCACCGUUGCAUAAAUAAGUACAUAAAAGCUCAAUAAAGUUAAGUGGCCUGUCCACAAUCAUGGGCAGUCUCAGGUCUUCUGAUCUCAAACUCUUGAUAUUUUUUCUUCUCACACGCUCUGUUCUAGCAAGAGGCAUAGUAAAUAGAUACCAAGAUACUAAAUAUCUAAAGCAUAAGAUACUUAUAGAAGGAAAACACAAAAUAAGGAAGGGUGAGUUGGAGAGUGACUCCGAGAGAAUUCUAGCUGUGUUUAUUCCCUGUUUUCUUGCAUCUCCUAUGGCUGGCCACGGCGACACAGCACUUCUUUUACAGGAUGCAUUUAGGUGGUUUAGAAGGGGAAAUAACAAAUCUCACGAAUAUAAACUGUAUCAGCAAGAAGGGAUUUAUAUUUCCAGCCAAUCAAAGAAUAUGGUAAAUUACUUAAGUAAUUCAGGAGAAAAAUAGACAACCAAAGUAAAUGUAGGCAGAAUUAGACUAUGUACAUUUUUUAAAAUUAAGCUUUUUCUGUGGCUUUAUCAAUUCUUGUUAUAAAGUUGAGCUCCUCAAUACUUCUAAGUCAAUAAUUUUGCCACAGUUAUUGCCCUUGGAAAAUGACUGUAUGAGAAAAGAAAAGAAAGCCUUAACGAUACAUCUAAUAAGUGAAAUAUUCUAACAGCUUCAAGGACAGCCCAGUAAAGGUCACUUCUGACCUUGGGCAAUAUUUCCUUCUUGUCUUCUAUACCCACCUGAUUGUGUCAUUGAAAAGAAUCUCCCUGUCACCCUGGUCAGAGGAACAAGGGAACAGGGAAUAAAUAUAGCUAGAUUUUUUUCAAAGUCACUCUCGAACCCACCCUUCUUUUGUUUUCUUUGGUUUUUCCUUCCUCCUAAUACCACGCAUGUCCUAUGACAGAAAAUAUAAAAUCUGUCAGAUAAAAUGCUAGAUAUUUGAGAAUACACAUUCCUUUUGAGAUUCCUUCCAGAAGUCUCAGACUGUUUAUUUUUUUUUUUUUUAAAGAUUUUAUUUCAGAGAGAGAGAGAGCAGGAGCAGGGAGAGGGGCAAAGGGAGAAGCAGACUCCUCACUAAGCAGGGAGCCUGACCUGGGGCUCAGUCUCAGGACACCGGGAUCAUGACCUGAGCUGAAGGCACUUAACUGAUUAAAGUCACCCAGGUGUCCCUCAGACUGUAGCCCUUACAGUGCUUUGCGGUGAUGCAAUGUCCCCAUUUUUCAUUAAGGAAAACAGAGUACACAGAAGAUUUCUGGGCCAGAGAAGCUUGUGCCAAAGCCUGUUUAGGAACUACGUCUCCACCUCCUUUGUCAAAUCCUUCCUGGUCCUUAUUAAAUAUCUACUUAUAACUAAGGAAAAUAUUAUAAGAGAAAACCUCUGCUUGUUCAGGAGCUUGGUACUAAUGUGACACGGAGACCUUCAAGCUGGUGUGGGUGCAGCCCUGAGGGGAAAUGAAGCUUUUCUUUCUUUCUUUCUUAUUUAUUUAUUUAUUUAUUUAUUUAUUUAU